rnacentral:tRNA from 1 species
GCCAGCUUAGCUCAGUUGGUAGAGCAGCUGAUUUGUAAUCAGCAGGUCGUCGGUUCAAGUCCGACAGCUGGCUCCA